rnacentral:rRNA from 1 species
UACGGAGGGUGCAAGCGUUAAUCGGAAUUACUGGGCGUAAAGCGCGCGUAGGCGGUUUGUUAAGUCGGAUGUGAAAGCCCUGGGCUCAACCUGGGAACUGCAUACGAUACUGGCAGGCUAGAGUGCAAUAGAGGGGGGUAGAAUUCCAGGUGUAGCGGUGAAAUGCGUAGAUAUCUGGAGGAAUACCGGUGGCGAAGGCGGCCCCCUGGAUUGACACUGACGCUGAGGUGCGAAAGCGUGGGUAGCAAACAGG